rnacentral:rRNA from 1 species
GGCGGCGUGCCUUACACAUGCAAGUCGGAUGUGUCGCAAGACACAUGGCAGACGGGUGAGUAACACGUGGGAAACUUACCUCUUAGUGGGGAAUAACGCUCCGAAAGGAGCGGUAAUACCGCAUGAGACCUAUCGCUGGGAUGCGAUAGAUGAAAGCUGGGGAUCGUAAGACCUAGCGCUGAGAGAGAGUCCUGCGUCUGAUUAGUUAGUUGGUGAGGUAACGGCUCACCAAGACUUCGAUCAGUAGCCGGCCUGAGAGGGCGAUCGGCCACACUGGAACUGAGACACGGUCCAGACUCCUACGGGAGGCAGCAGUGGGGAAUCUUGCGCAAUGGGCGAAAGCCUGACGCAGCAACGCCGCGUGGGUGAUGAAGGUCUUCGGAUUGUAAAACCCUGUCGUUAGGGACGAAGGUAGGAAUCCUAAUACGGUUCAUGCUUGACGGUACCUAGAAAGGAAGCCCCGGCUAACUCUGUGCCAGCAGCCGCGGUAAUACAGAGGGGGCAAGCGUUAUUCGGAAUUAUUGGGCGUAAAGGGUGCGUAGGCGGUUUUUUAAGUCAGAUGUGUAAUCCCCGAGCUCAACUUGGGAACUGCAUCUGAAACUGGAAGACUAGAGUGCUGGAGAGGAUGGUGGAAUUCCACGUGUAGCGGUGAAAUGCGUAGAGAUGUGGAGGAACACCAGUGGCGAAGGCGGCCAUCUGGACAGUAACUGACGCUGAAGCACGAAAGUGUGGGUAGCAAACAGGAUUAGAUACCCUGGUAGUCCACACCGUAAACGAUGAACACUUGGUGUAGUGGGCGUUGACCCCCACUGUGCCGUAGCUAACGCGAUAAGUGUUCCGCCUGGGGAGUACGGUCGCAAGGCU